rnacentral:lncRNA from 1 species
UGCUGCUCUCUCUUCUUUUAACAUUCUUCCCUCCACAUCUCUCAAUUCACAAACUAAAAAUUCCAUUUCCCUCCUUUCCCUCGUUUUCUGCCCUUCUCCGCUCUAACCCCAACCUCCUCACCAAAAACCCUCACUAAAAUCCCUCUCUCUCUCUCUCUCUCUCUCUCUACACUUCUCUCUAAACCUUCAUCUCAGAUCUCCAGCCUUCGUCGAAUUUGGUUGACCUCUCCGAUGUCCGGCGG